GAAAGCCGUAUGCAUCGAAAGGUGCCUGUACGGUUUGGAGCGGGGGAAAAGGUGGAGAUAACUUCAAAGCCUUACCAAUCGCUAU
rnacentral:ncRNA from 1 species